UGAAAAUAAUGAGGUUUUGAAGGGGAUAGAAAGAGAGUGAUGGUGGGAUCCAUCAAAGGUUUGGGAUUUCACACAAUGUUCGCAUCACUCUUUUAAAUGUAAUUAGAGGUUGAGGAGUUGAUCGCCGAUCAUAGAUAAGGAGGGGCUGGUUAGUGGCUUGAAAAAGAAUUCAGACAACAUUAAUUUUUUCUAAAAAAUAAAACCAACCUUCCGACGGUUGGUUAACACUCCUCGACAGUCGAGAUAGGGUUUUCAUCAUUAUUCAUUUGGUGGCUAAAUAUUACUCAUGGGACGUUUCUAGAGAAUGCAAGACCAUGUUUGAGUGAGAAAUUGGUCUCGAUGAAAUUGAGAGUUCAAUGAACAACACAUACAAUGCAAGUAAAUCUACCUACUCAAACCCAUCUUCUAUUUCUAAAGCAGAAGGGCUUUCGGUGGCUGAACCAAUAGAAGAUUCUUCGUUGGGAAGCAAAGCUUAUAGCUUUGAUGAGUAUCUAAAGGUUACAGAAGAGCAACUGAAAGCUUACGAUCAGCUCCAAACCAAUUUUCCAGCACAAAGCCAGAGUGGAUCCCAAGUACAACGGGAAGGUUGUUAAAAUCAAAUCUCUUAUGUCUUAUUU